rnacentral:rRNA from 1 species
AAUCAACGCCGGCGGCGUGCCUAACACAUGCAAGUCGAACGAGAACGGGCUAUAGCUUGCUAUAGUUGUCAGCUAAGUGGCGCACGGGUGAGUAAUGUAUAGGUAAUAUGCCUCUUACUAAGGGAUAACAAAUGGAAACGUUUGCUAAUACCUUAUACUCCUUAUUAACAGAAGUUAAUAAGGGAAAGAUUUAUUGGUAAGAGAUUAGCCUGUAUUGUAUCAGUUAGUUGGUGGGGUAAUGGCUUACCAAGACUAUGACACAUAACUGGUUUGAGAGGAUGGUCAGUCACACUGGAACUGAGACACGGUCCAGACUCCUACUGGAGGCAGCAGUGGGGAAUAUUGCACAAUGGACGAAAGUCUGAUGCAGCAACGCCGCGUGGAGGAUGACACAUUUCGGUGCGUAAACUCCUUUUAUAUGAGAAGAUAAUGACGGUAUUAUAUGAAUAAGCACCGGCUAACUCCGUGCCAGCCGCCGCGGUAA